UUCAAGAGGAACUUUUUUGAAGGAGCUGGAGAAUAUUUCGGGCUGAGUAGAUUUUUUUUUUCUGCUCUAGUGGUUGUGGGUUAAAUCUAUUCUCCUGGGGAAGAGUGAUGGCUUAGCGGACACAGUCCACCCUGAAACGGAGUUUUUUAUCCCAAAAUAGGGUGGGGAGGGGCAAAAGGUGGAAGAAGAGAUUCGGGCUGAGAGAGGCAAUGAAUGAGGAGAAGCUAGAAAUGCAGGUUUCACCCCGUCUGCUCUAGAAAUUCCGCCGGACUCAUUUCAAUUUGCCUCUUUCUAGAGGUUGGGUUUGGAUUUCAGUUUUAGACCGAAACUGAGUUGAGGAUCUGAAAAUAAAUCGAAAGAUCUGAUAAGAAAACACCAGUUCCGGGUAUUGUAAGUGUGAUGUAUUGCUGCGGUUUUGAGACAGUAGUGAUUAUGGUGGCAGGGUUGAAUUGUAAAGGAAGUUUUAAGAAGCAUAUGAAAGAGGCAGAAGAAGAGAUGUAUUAGCUAGAGCAGUGUUUCUCAACUUUGGCAAUUUUAAGAUAAAGGAAUGUGUAUGGACUUAAACUCCCAGAAUUUCCCAACCAACAUGGAGGAAUCUUAAAAUUGCCAAGGUUGAGAAACACUGGGUUAAAUGGUUGGACUGGAGAGACCUAUUUCCAAAUCUCCAUUUGAUCACACAACUAACUGUUUGAUAUUAACUCUUAAUGUAAUUUACUUCCCAUGAAAGCUGCGAAGAUAAACAAAAUUAUGUAGUCCAAAAUUAUGUUUCCUACAUUGGAGAAAACACAGGAAAUAAAUAAAAAUCCUAAAAGAAGAAUAUCAUAUGUGGAGCAAAGAAGUGGCUUUUCUUCUAUUGUUCUAUUGAAAGUGAUGCAAGUGUUGUCUGAGUAUGUGUGUUUGUUUGGCACAGCAACCAUCCUAGCGUGAUUUGAUUCUGGAUCCCACAGGAAGGAUGAAUAGAUAUGUUCAACUUUGGGCAUAAGCUGAAUAAAGUUCUUGCAAAUUCAGGAGAGAAAGGGAAUGUGACCAUGGUGUGUUAAGAACUGUCCAGGGAAACAGUGAGAAAGCAGGUGCAAGAGAUGAUGAAAAAAAGCAGCCAGCAGAGUAAAAACUAAUACAGUAUUUUCUGUGGGUUUGUUUCCCUUUCACAGGUAAUGGUAGUUGGGAGAAGAAAGGUCUCUUCCCUGCUUUGAAGUACCAUCCCAGCCUUUCAUAGUUCCAAGCUCAUGGCUGGAAGCCCAGUGCCCCCUAGAAGGAAGGUGGUUGAGGAAACACGACUGGUGCUGGAAGCAUUCUUGCAAGGAGCAUUAAACAGUGGAAAGGAUGGGGCCCCAGGACAUGUCGGUCGUGGCUACCAUGACCCCCAAAGUUACAUGUCCAGGUCCCCUGUGGAACAUUUUCCAGAGUGUCCUGCCUGCAGUCCUGCCCAUGAAGGAAGUAACUCUGCGGAAGGGAAAAAACAUGGUUUCCGCACCAGCAUUAAGCACCUGUUGCAGAAGCGGUCCAGUUCUCGAGGACUCUCGGACAAUCUGCCCUGCCCUGGAGACUCUUUAAAGAAAUCUAAGCCAGGACCUGAAGGGACCCACCGCAAGCGCCCCUUCUCCUUCAAGGGCUUCCUGAAGAAGAAGUCUGCUUCAGCAGAGAUAACGGACCCCAAUGCUCCCCCCAGGCGGCCUGACACUUUGCCUCUUGUCACCUGCUAUUGCAAAAAGCAGGCAGCUGAACCAGAAGAGGCCCAGACAACAGGCAAUGGUGAAGCUGAGGAUGCUGAGUUUUAUACUCUGGUGGCUCAGAAACUAGAUUACUUUGUGAAACACCAACAACGGAUUAGCCCUAUAGCUGCAAAAAGCUCAGUUUCUCCCAAAGAUCCAAACAUUACAAUUUCCACAGAUACUAUCUCUGACAAUUCAGUUGCCUUGGAACAAGUGCCAGAACAAUUGGAUGAGAAACAGAAAGAACAAAUCCUUCAGAAGUUGGUUGCCCUUCUGGAAGAGCAGGCUUCUGUCUUCAAUAAAAAGAUUGAAGCUGACCCACUGCUACGCAACACUAUCUCCCGCCUCUCCUACCGCAGCUUUACUCACCUGGCUGAAGCCUUCACAUCACGUACCCCACCUGGAGUUUCUAGCCCUCAGUUAGCCAAGUUAGCCCUUACCAUGGAACUCACAAGGAAAGUGGCUGGCAUCAACAGUCACACCGUACAUACCCUCAUGGGCUACAGUUUGCAGUAUAUGGAUAUGUUCAUACCUUGGCUGCAACAGCAAGGUGGUUGGGAGAACAUUGUAGCCCAGGAGGAGAUAUUUGACAUGCAACUUGACUGAACAAACUUCUGUGCAUCAGUGGCAAUGCUCUCAUGAUGAAUCUUGUUUGCAGAAGACUGAGUGCAGGGUGCUCUUGAGAAAUUUUGGGAUUUUAGAACAAGAAAAAGAAUUCCUAUGUGAAACUAACUUGAAGGAGACUCAUAUUAAUUUCAGUGGGACUCUGUGUAAAUAGGAGGAGAAAAGAAACUUAAUAUAAAACUCAGGGAUAUGGAAGCAUGUUUAACAGCAAUAGCUUCCCUGAA